rnacentral:tRNA from 1 species
GGAGAGGUGCCGGAGCGGCUGAACGGACCGGUUUUGAAAACCGGGAGCCCUCGCGGGCUCGUGGGUUCGAAUCCCACCCUCUCCGCCA